rnacentral:rRNA from 1 species
GGUAUCCUGUCUGAAUAUGGGGGGACCAUCCUCCAAGGCUAAAUACUCCUGACUGACCGAUAGUGAACCAGUACCGUGAGGGAAAGGCGAAAAGAACCCCGGCGAGGGGAGUGAAAAAGAACCUGAAACCGUGUACGUACAAGCAGUGGGAGCACAGAGCAAUCUGUGUGACUGCGUACCUUUUGUAUAAUGGGUCAGCGACUUAUAUUCUGUAGCAAGGUUAACCGAAUAGGGGAGCCGAAGGGAAACCGAGUCUUAACUGGGCGUUAAGUUGCAGGGUAUAGACCCGAAACCCGGUGAUCUAGCCAUGGGCAGGUUGAAGGUUGGGUAACACUAACUGGAGGACCGAACCGACUAAUGUUGAAAAAUUAGCGGAUGACUUGUGGCUGGGGGUGAAAGGCCAAUCAAACCGGGAGAUAGCUGGUUCUCCCCGAAAGCUAUUUAGGUAGCGCCUCGUGAAUUCAUCUCCGGGGGUAGAGCACUGUUUCGGCAAGGGGGUCAUCCCGACUUACCAACCCGAUGCAAACUGCGAAUACCGGAGAAUGUUAUCACGGGAGACACACGGCGGGUGCUAACGUCCGUCGUGAAGAGGGAAACAACCCAGACCGCCAGCUAAGGUCCCAAAGUCAUGGUUAAGUGGGAAACGAUGUGGGAAGGCCCAGACAGCCAGGAUGUUGGCUUAGAAGCAGCCAUCAUUUAAAGAAAGCGUAAUAGCUCACUGGUCGAGUCGGCCUGCGCGGAAGAUGUAACGGGGCUAAACCAUGCACCGAAGCUGCGGCAGCGACACUGUGUGUUGUUGGGUAGGGGAGCGUUCUGUAAGCCUGUGAAGGUGUGCUGUGAGGCAUGCUGGAGGUAUCAGAAGUGCGAAUGCUGACAUAAGUAACGAUAAAGCGGGUGAAAAGCCCGCUCGCCGGAAGACCAAGGGUUCCUGUCCAACGUUAAUCGGGGCAGGGUGAGUCGACCCCUAAGGCGAGGCCGAAAGGCGUAGUCGAUGGGAAACAGGUUAAUAUUCCUGUACUUGGUGUUACUGCGAAGGGGGGACGGAGAAGGCUAUGUUGGCCGGGCGACGGUUGUCCCGGUUUAAGCGUGUAGGCUGGUUUUCCAGGCAAAUCCGGAAAAUCAAGGCUGAGGCGUGAUGACGAGGCACUACGGUGCUGAAGCAACAAAUGCCCUGCUUCCAGGAAAAGCCUCUAAGCAUCAGGUAACAUCAAAUCGUACCCCAAACCGACACAGGUGGUCAGGUAGAGAAUACCAAGGCGCUUGAGAGAACUCGGGUGAAGGAACUAGGCAAAAUGGUGCCGUAACUUCGGGAGAAGGCACGCUGAUAUGUAGGUGAAGUCCCUCGCGGAUGGAGCUGAAAUCAGUCGAAGAUACCAGCUGGCUGCAACUGUUUAUUAAAAACACAGCACUGUGCAAACACGAAAGUGGACGUAUACGGUGUGACGCCUGCCCGGUGCCGGAAGGUUAAUUGAUGGGGUCAGCGCAAGCGAAGCUCUUGAUCGAAGCCCCGGUAAACGGCGGCCGUAACUAUAACGGUCCUAAGGUAGCGAAAUUCCUUGUCGGGUAAGUUCCGACCUGCACGAAUGGCGUAAUGAUGGCCAGGCUGUCUCCACCCGAGACUCAGUGAAAUUGAACUCGCUGUGAAGAUGCAGUGUACCCGCGGCAAGACGGAAAGACCCCGUGAACCUUUACUAUAGCUUGACACUGAACAUUGAGCCUUGAUGUGUAGGAUAGGUGGGAGGCUUUGAAGUGUGGACGCCAGUCUGCAUGGAGCCGACCUUGAAAUACCACCCUUUAAUGUUUGAUGUUCUAACGUGGACCCGUGAUCCGGGUUGCGGACAGUGUCUGGUGGGUAGUUUGACUGGGGCGGUCUCCUCCUAAAGAGUAACGGAGGAGCACGAAGGUUGGCUAAUCCUGGUCGGACAUCAGGAGGUUAGUGCAAUGGCAUAAGCCAGCUUGACUGCGAGCGUGACGGCGCGAGCAGGUGCGAAAGCAGGUCAUAGUGAUCCGGUGGUUCUGAAUGGAAGGGCCAUCGCUCAACGGAUAAAAGGUACUCCGGGGAUAACAGGCUGAUACCGCCCAAGAGUUCAUAUCGACGGCGGUGUUUGGCACCUCGAUGUCGGCUCAUCACAUCCUGGGGCUGAAGUAGGUCCCAAGGGUAUGGCUGUUCGCCAUUUAAAGUGGUACGCGAGCUGGGUUUAGAACGUCGUGAGACAGUUCGGUCCCUAUCUGCCGUGGGCGCUGGAGAACUGAGGGGGGCUGCUCCUAGUACGAGAGGACCGGAGUGGACGCAUCACUGGUGUUCGGGUUGUCAUGCCAAUGGCACUGCCCGGUAGCUAAAUGCGGAAGAGAUAAGUGCUGAAAGCAUCUAAGCACGAAACUUGCCCCGAGAUGAGUUCUCCCUGACCCUUUAAGGGUCCUGAAGGAACGUUGAAGACGACGACGUUGAUAGGCCGGGUGUGUAAGCGCAGCGAUGCGUUGAGCUAACCGGUACUAAUGAACCGUGAGGCUUAACCUUACAACGCCGAAGGUGUUU